UAAAUAUUUAAAUUGUAAGUAAUUGUGGUAUAUAAACUUGGUACACUUGCUUGAUGUAGUAGCUAUAAAAUUAUAGAACUGAAAAAUUGGAAAUUUUUAAGUGAGUUAUUAAUGCAAAUAGAAGACAAUUUUUGGAUAAUGCAAUUCUAACUUAGGUCUUAAUACAAAAUACGUUCGAUAAAUGCAAACUGCUAAAUCUGUAAAAAUAUGGCAUAUUCGAAAAUGACAGUGUUAUACUUAAAGUUCUUAAAAGGAAUUUUUAAGUAUUUUUUAUAAUUGCUGCAAAAAUAUUAUAAAUUAGAAAUAAUAAGAGAAGAAUAUAAAAAAUAUUGCAUAUUGAAGAAUUAUUCGAGUAUACGAGAAUUAUAAAUCGGCAAAUGCAAAAUAUUCAUUUUCUGCAUGGAUUUGCAUUCAUAUGAGAAAUUCUGAUUAUUUAUAUGUAUAUAAAAUAUAUCAAUAUAUAUCAUCCCAUAGAUCUAUAUAUAUAUGAAUUGCAUUUGGCAUAUAUGAACGUACAAUAAUAAAAAACAAAAACAGCAUUUAGCUUAUUAUAACAGGUGCAAAUAUCUACAGCGUAUAUAUAUAUAUCCAUAAUAUUUCUAAUGAAAUUUAAUACAAUUGUUACGUAAUGCAACUUAAUUAUAAAAUAUAUUUACUGGUUAUAUUCACUAUAAUAUUAUGGUUAUAAUUAUGAUGAAAAUAAUUUUCAAGUAAUUAGUUGCAUUAGAAAUUUUUAACGAGAUGUAACGAAGAAAAUAUUCAUUAAAAUAUAUAAAUUAAUUAUAUUGGAAUAAAAUACAUCAUGAUGAAGAAAGAAAUUUUCAAACAACAAACUUUAGUCGGAGACUAUAUUUUACAAUUAAUUAUGCGAAAAUUCAAAAAAAUUAAUUUGAAAUUAUUUUGUCGGCCCAAAGAUGUCGCUAUAAAAGAUGCCAAUAAUAAAAAUGUUACAUUUAAAAAAAUUAAUUCUAAAAAUAAACAUAUUAAUUUUCCAUAUUCAAUGAAAUGUUGUGGACCAUUUAUUAAAUUUCCAAAUAAUAAUAAUUUUUUGUAAUAAAAUGAAUGUUUGAUAUUAUUAAAAUAUUAAU